rnacentral:antisense_RNA from 1 species
AAUUAUGGUGGACUGGAUGAGGGCGCUUCGGCGCGCCGUUUCCUGUUAAGCGGUAGUUCCUAACCUUGUUCAGUUCACCACCAAC